rnacentral:rRNA from 1 species
ACGUACACUCCUACGGGAGGCAGCAGUGGGGAAUAUUGGACAAUGGGCGCAAGCCUGAUCCAGCCAUGCCGCGUGAGUGAUGAAGGCCCUAGGGUUGUAAAGCUCUUUCACCGGAGAAGAUAAUGACGGUAUCCGGAGAAGAAGCCCCGGCUAACUUCGUGCCAGCAGCCGCGGUAAUACGAAGGGGGCUAGCGUUGUUCGGAAUUACUGGGCGUAAAGCGCACGUAUGCGGAUCGAUCAGUCAGGGGUGAAAUCCCAUGGCUCAACCCUGGAACUGCCUUUGAUACUGUCGAUCUGGAGUAUGGAAGAGGUGAGUGGAAUUCCGAGUGUAGAGGUGAAAUUCGUAGAUAUUCGGAGGAACACCAGUGGCGAAGGCGGCUCACUGGUCCAUUACUGACGCUGAGGUGCGAAAGCGUGGGGAGCAAACAGGAUUAGAUACCCGUGUAGUCCCA